UAAUCAGUAGUGUAAGUGAGUGUUUUGCAUGAAUGUGAUAAUGCAGGGUGUUGAAAAAAACCCCACCAAGAAACACAACACAAUCUAUAAAGAUGUCUGCAUGGAGAGAGUCUCCUCCAUGAAUGGGGAAGUGGUGUAUUAUCCUGGGAGACACCGGGCCCAGGUGUGUCUGCAUGGAGAGAGUCUCCUCCAUGAAUGGGGAAGUGGUGUAUUAUCCUGGGAGACACCGGGCCCAGGUGUGUCUGCAUGGAGAGAGUCUCCUCCAUGAAUGGGGAAGUGGUGUAUUUAUCCUGGGAGACACCGGGCCCAGGUGUGUCUGCAUGGAGAGAGUCUCCUCCAUGAAUGGGGAAGUGGUGUAUUAUCCUGGGAGACACCGGGCCCAGGUGUGUCUGCAUGGAGAGAGUCUCCUCCAUGAAUGGGGAAGUGGUGUAUUUAUCCUGGGAGACACCGGGCCCAGGUGUGUCUGCAUGGAGAGAGUCUCCUCCAUGAAUGGGGAAGUGGUGUAUUUAUCCUGGGAGACACCGGGCCCAGGUGUGUCUGCAUGGAGAGAGUCUCCUCCAUGAAUGGGGAAGUGGUGUAUUUAUCCUGGGAGACACCGGGCCCAGGUGUGUCUGCAUGGAGAGAGUCUCCUCCAUGAAUGGGGAAGUGGUGUAUUUAUCCUGGGAGACACCGGGCCCAGGUGUGUCUGCAUGGAGAGA